rnacentral:rRNA from 1 species
AUUGAACGCUGGCGGCAUGCCUCACACAUGCAAGUCGAACGAUUGGCGGACGUGUGGUUAAUGUCUGUGCAACUGACUGAUGGAUGGGUAUGACUAAUGGAAACUGUAGCUAAUACCGCAUACCAUCAGAGGUGCCCGGAUGGGAUUAGCUUGUUGGUGGGUGAAAGGCACACCAAGUCGACGAUCCCUAGCUGGUAUGAGCGGAUGACCAGCCACACUGGAACUGAGACACGGUCCAGACUCCUACGGGAGGCAGCAGUGGGGAAUAUUGCACAAUGGGGGCAAGCCUGAUGCAGCCAUGCCGCGUGUAUGAAGAAGGCCUUCGGGUUGUAAAGUACUUUCAGCGGGGAGGCGUUACCCGCAGAAGAAGCACCGGCUAACUCCGUGCCAGCAGCCGCGGUAAUAC